AUCUUUACAGCCUUAAAAAAUUCCGAAGGAAUUUAUUCUAUAUGUUUUAUUAUCAGAAUAGCUUCUCUUUCACUAUAAGAGAAAAGGCCUCAAAACUCUCUCUCUAUACCAAAAAGCCUCACAAUUUUGUUGAGAAGAAAUUAAUGGCUAGUUCUAACAAGAAGUUUGAGGUGAUUUUAGAUGAUCAAACUCCAAAUAAAUGGUGUGUUUCAUUAGGAGAUGAAACUUUCAAAAGAUUCUUCAGCAUGACUAAUCCAACAGUUCACAAGGUUUUUGGUGAUGGAUCACUUUUUAGUCCAAUGUUGUUUGGGAAAUUCUUUGAUCCUUCUGAUGCAUUUCCUCUAUGGGAGUUUGAGCCAGAUGUUUUAUUAUCUCAUGUAAGAAGUUCCAACCAAACCACUGUGGAUUGGCAUCACACAGAUGAAGGCUGUAUGUUAAAAGCUGAAAUACCAGGAACCGGGAAAAACAACAUUCAGGUCCAUGUUGAUAAAGGGAAGGUGGUGGAAAUCAGUGGACAGUGGAGGCAGCAAAGAGACUCAAAGACAAAUGAUUGGAGGUGUGGUCAUUGGUGGAAAAAUGGAUAUGUAAGAAGGCUUGAGAUGCCAGAGGAUGCAGAUUGGAAGAAUAUACAAGCAUUCAUAUAUAAUGACAUAUUCUUAGAAAUUAAAAUGCCAAAGAUCAAAAAGGGUUCUGAUCAUGCUCAAGGAUAAGACGUGGCUUGAGAUUCAAUUAUGCAGAAACAGAUUAAAAUUGAAAAGUGAGUUUGUAACCAUCUAUGCAAAUUGAUACUAAAAACUUAAGAAAGUUAUAACUCUCAAGUAUCAAUCUAAUAUCAGUAAUUAUGAGCAUGCCUUGUGAUGAUGUAAUAUAAAGACGCAAGAAGAAGUGAUCAUCAAAGGACUAUUGUGAACUACACUUGUAGUGAGGAGAUAGAUGGAUUCGGAUUACCUGCUGGGAAAAAAAGCAUGUAUUUACAUGUAGUAAACGAUUUCAGUCAUAAAUAUACCUUAUAAAGGUAUGCCGUGCAGCAUGUGCAUCUACGAAUACAGAAUCAAGAAAUGCCCUAAUUGAUCGUAGUACAUUUUUCUGCACAUCAAUGUUGAUGCGCUGCCACUUC